rnacentral:rRNA from 1 species
AGCAAACGCUGGCGGCGUGCCUAAUACAUGCAAGUCGAACGGGGAAGUACCUUCGGGUAUUGUACUAGUGGCGUACGGGUGAGUAACACGUGGAUAAUCUUCCUUCAGAUGGGGAAGUAACCAAUCGAAAGAUUGGCUAAUACCGCAUAAGACCACAAGCUCUACGGAGCAAGGGGUUAAAGGCUUCGGCCGUCUGAAGAUGAGUCUGCGUCCGAUUAGCUAGUUGGUGAGGUAAAAGCUCACCAAGGCGACGAUCGGUAGCUGGUCUGAGAGG